AUGCAGGGGUUGGGGGGAGUAAAUACACACAGGGGACUGCCCCACCUGGGCAACACGAGUCACCAAGAUAAGAGUGGGAUACACAUUGGCACUGCCCCAAUGGCUGAUAUACAUACAGGACCCUGCCUCACCCAGCCACCAGUGCUCACAGUCGCAAUGGUAGUGGUGGGGUCCCAUAGGCAGCUGCCCUCAGUGGCCACCAGGGAUCGCUGCAGCAACGCUGAGGGGGGAUACAUGUCAGGCAGUGCCGCACCUGGCCACCAGGAGACACUGUUCCAACAAGAAGGCACUGACAGGGCACUCCUGUGCCUGGCCAGCAGGGGUCACUAUCACAGAGUUGGGGGGAUACACAUAUGGCACUGCCACACCUGGCCUCAAGACGAUACACUUAGGGCACUAUCCCACCUGGCCACCAAGGGUCAGUGCCCCAAAAGGAAUGAUAUUCACCAUGUACUGCCCCUCCUGGUCCCCAGGGGGCCCUGCACCCUGACACCUACCCACACAUAUCCCCGGUGAGCAGGAGUGUGCCUGUGUGUUAUUCUGCACUGUAAGAAAUGAGGCAAAGGCUAAUUUUACUUAAAUUUCUGAUGAAGAAAGCUCUAAGUUGCAACCCUACCUUGCCAAGCACCUGCCCAAAGCCAGAGCAGUGUCCCUGCUGCCAGCAGAGACCCCAGAACACAAAGCAGCUUUUAGGUGAAGCAAUGACAGACUCCGGGGAGGGGCUAUGGGGAAGCAGAGAAAGAGCAACUAACUGCAGUGGGGAAAAUCAUAAUCUACCGGGGAGAAAGAACAGACUCCGCUAGGAUAUCACACCAACUCCGGCCAGGCUGGAUACCAGCAAUUUGGGGCUGGAGCAGCUCCAGCUAGAGGCUGGGCGGGGGCAGGUGACCUCAGUCUCUGUGCUGAGCAGGCUGCUUUGGCUGCAAGGAGGGACAAGGAACCCCCCGGCCAGGGUCUUGCUGCCCAAGGGGCGGGGAGAUCUGUGGCAAUCUUUGGAGUAGCUGGUUCAGCAGCGGUGAGCCCCACGCUUGUCCCUGCCUGAGCUCUCCAGGAGCACAUUAUGCCCAGGUGUAUGCACUGGAUGUAGGCACCAGUGUAACGACAGGGCCAGACUCUGCUGAGUGCUGCCUGCGAGAGACAGGGACAGAGUCAGACGGGCAGAUGGGUGCAGCAGAUGACAGGGCCAGCGGCCAUGAGCUGAACCCAUCACACUUCCGGCCUUUGACAUCACCAUCCAUCCCUGCAGCCCUCCACCUGUCCCGCUGUCCAUCCAACCCUCAAGCCCCCCAUCCAUCCCCACUAUAUGCCACACACACCCCUUCAUCCAUCUGCCUCAUACACUCAUCUAUCUCCUCAUACAUCCGCUGUCCCUCUGGUUGUCCGUGCAGUGCCCAGCACAAGGAGGCAUGGACCCUGAGCGAGGCUUUGGGUGAUGCAGUAAUGGAGCUAGGGGAUCAUAAGGGGGGUUCUAGGCAUCUCUAAUGCCACCCCACUUCUCCUGUACCCAAAGCCAUGG
rnacentral:lncRNA from 1 species